UAGGGAAUCUUCGGCAAUGGACGAAAGUCUGACCGAGCAACGCCGCGUGAGUGAAGAAGGUUUUCGGAUCGUAAAACUCUGUUGUUAGAGAAGAACAAGGACGUUAGUAACUGAACGUCCCCUGACGGUAUCUAACCAGAAAGCCACGGCUAACUACGUGCCAGCAGCCGCGGUAAUACGUAGGUGGCAAGCGUUGUCCGGAUUUAUUGGGCGUAAAGCGAGCGCAGGCGGUUUCUUAAGUCUGAUGUGAAAGCCCCCGGCUCAACCGGGGAGGGUCAUUGGAAACUGGGAGACUUGAGUGCAGAAGAGGAGAGUGGAAUUCCAUGUUUAGCGGUGAAAUGCGUAGAUAUAUGGAGGAACACCAGUGGCGAAGGCGGCUCUCUGGUCUGUAACUGACGCUGAGGCUCGAAAGCGUGGGGAGCAAACAGG
rnacentral:rRNA from 1 species